GUCCACGCCCUAAACGAUGUUUACUAGGUUGUAGAGGAUCUGACGCCUUUACAGUCGGAGCAAAAGUGUUAAGUAAACCGCCUGGGGAGUACGGUCGCAAGGCUAAAACUCAAAGGAAUUUACGGGGGCUCACACAAGCGGUGGAGCAUGUGGAUUAAUUCGAAGCAACGCGCAGAACCUUACCUGGGUUUGACAUGUAAGAAUGGCUUCCUGGAAACAGGGUAGUCUGCCCGCAAGGGUGAAGCUUAUACAGGUGCUGCAUGGCUGUCGU
rnacentral:rRNA from 1 species